AUUACACUUUCGCAUGGAAGAGUAAUUAAAGGAGCAAUCCGCUAUAAGAUGGGCCCGCGGCGCAUUAGCUAGUUGGUGAGGUAACGGCUCACCAAGGCGACGAUGCGUAGCCGACCUGAGAGGGUGAUCGGCCACAUUGGGACUGAGACACGGCCCAGACUCCUACGGGAGGCAGCAUG
rnacentral:rRNA from 1 species